rnacentral:lncRNA from 1 species
AUUUAAAUGCUUGUAAUUUAAAUAAAAUAUAUAGUGGACAAUUCAUGAAAGGAAUUAUAUCUCUAUAUACACUGCAUGUGCUAAAAGAAAGCUUUCCCACUUCAAAGAUAGCGAAAAAAAAUACUGUGACGCCCUCAAAUCCUGGUUCCCUAACCUAGAGUUUUGUGCUCACGAUCCAUCAUACAUAUCAUAUCUAACUACCCAUUCAGUGGUGAAUUACAUCAUUCAUACCAUUACUUAAUACAAAUUAUAACAAUCUCCCAUGUUAACUAACCUUAAAAUAACUUACAUAACCUUAGAUACUCCAAAAGGUUUACAUAAUUAAUUUAUAUAAAGUAACAUAAUAAUUAAAGUUCACAAUAACUACUUUGAACUUUGCCUUUGUCUUUCUUUGACCCUUUGGCUACCUCAUCCUUAGCUGAAAUGUUUUAUUUAAGCAAGGGUGAGCAACGAGUUUACUCAGCAAGUUAAAUCGUACAAUUAAAGAUAUAGAAGAAUCUAACUUUCUAGAAUGUUAACAAUGCUCAAAAGAUUUCGAAGUAGCUGAACAAUAAAUAAUUUUUAAUAACAAGAAUUUUCUUGAAUUCCAGAAUAAAUAACAUUUCGAGAAUGAAAGAAUUAAAUUCGUUUGAAGAUUAAGUAAGAUUCAUUUGAUUAGGAACAAUUAACAAUAAUGCAACAAUAUUUAAUAAAAUGAGAUAUUCCCAUAUUUCAUGCUGAGUGAUCACAAAUGGAUCAAGAAUAAAUAGAAGAAUUAUCAGUUAAUUAAUACGGAAUUACCUCAAGAGUAUCAGUUAACCAUAAAGAUUAAAUCAUACUCUUCUGCGAGUACAUGAAGUGAUCAGCCUCAUUGUACCCUAUAUUAUGUAUAAUACUCAAAAAUAGCGCAAGGGUCGGAUGUCCGACAAUAAAGUUCCCCUUUUAAAAAGGGUUGUUCAUCUCAGUCUUACAUCAUGAGUCCGUACCACAACAAUAUGGUUUUGAUUGCUUUCAAAGAAAUGUUAUGAUUUAAACAUAUAAUAUCAAUAUUGAUCUAGCCGAAAUAAAUGGUAUAAAUCUUUCAAUAACAACUUCGUUUAAAUAAUAGAACGAUUCAUCAAUUAUUAGUCUAGCCGAAAUGAAUAGUUGAGACAUGGCUCAUAAACAGUUUAUGAAUAAAAGAACUUUAAAUUUAUUUCACAGUUCAAAUAAUAGAUCAUGAAAUCAAAUGCACUAUGUGCAAAUAAUAAUAAUCAUUAUAGAUGUGAAUAAUCAACAAUAAUUAUCCACUAAUCAUGCUUUGAAAUUAAUAACUCAAGUUGAGUUAUAAAACUUGCCUUGGUCGUUGACUAAUGCUACACAAUUUAAUUUAACUUCGUUUGAAAGACUUAUUAUUAGUAAUAUUGAUCUCUCAAUUAGCAUAACAUAUUAUAACUCAUAAUACUACUUUUCUUAUAAUAAAUAAUCUAACAUGUAAUCAUGUAAUCAAACAUUCAAUAAUACCUUACUCAUUAGGAGUAUUAUCAUUCUUUGAUAAUACUAUUAUCAUAUAACCAUUGUCUUAAACUCUUGUCUAAUAUUAUUAAUCCUUUAAUAAAGUUUUAUUCACUUUCUAAUAUUAUUAACCAUUUAAUAAUAUUUUAAUCUCUUAUUAAUAUUAUUAAUCAUUUAAUAAUAUUUUAGUCACUUGAUAAUAUUAUUAACCACUUAACAAUAUUGCGUACAUUAAUCACAUCUUAUCCAAUUACUAAUAUUAUUAAUCACUUAAUAAUAUUUUAAUCAAUAUUUAAUAUCUUAACCAUUCAUAAAUUUGAUUAACCAUUUAAUAAUAUUUUAAUCAAUUAAUAAUAUUAUUUUAAAUUUAAUCUAAUAUUAUUGAUCAUUUAAUAAUAUUUUAAUUUUACUCUAAUAUAAUAUUAUUAAUCAUUUAAUAAUAUUUUAAUUCAAUUUUAAUCUAAAUAUUAUUAAUUACUUAAUAAUAUCUUAAACUAAUAUUAUUAAGCUCAUAAUAAUAUUUUAAUCAUUUAUUAAACUAAUAAAUAAUUAAUUCCAAUUGUUUACCCUUUACUAAUUCAUUCAUUUAACAACUCUAAAAUGCCAUAAAUACAACAUCACCUCAACAAUGACCAAAAUACCUUUCAAAAAUCUGAACACACCAUAUUUAGGGUCUCUAAGCCAUAAAAUUAUAGUUUUGUCAUUUAUGACAUCACAUUACUUAUUUUAUUCAUUUAUUCACAACUCAAUCAUUAACAUGAAAAAUACCAAAUCAUCUCCAAAUAUAUUUAUUUUCUAGACAAUACCAGUAUAUGGUAUCAUGAUGAACGUAUAAUAUUUCUAAAAUUUUUGAAUUUCAUUUACUAUUUUUAAAAUGACCAAAAUAGCCAGAUCUUGUAACAAUUAUCAUGAACAGUUUUAAAGUCCAAAAAUUACGAAAUUUUCAGGAGAUGUUUCUGUUAUGUAUAUGUACUUACAGUAAAAAUUUCACAAUGUUUGGAGUUAUACAGAAAAAGUUAUUUUGGUUUACUUUUAAAAUAGUACUUUCUUAUAAAAUCCAUAACUCUUAUUCUACACAUCUAAAAAUUUUCAUCUUUGGACCGGAUCUAGAUAACUUAUUAUACUAUCCUACCAAAGUUUUACAGAAUUUUUAAAGUUAAGAAAAAUAAUGAAACUGCCCCUGGGAUGAACUGAUCCAAAACAGUCUUUUUCCUCUUUUUGAAAAAUCUGGACUGUUUUCACCAAAACAGCUCCCAAGGCUUGUAAAAUCAACAUAUUUGAGUGCUACCACUUGGGUUUAAAAGUUAACUUACACAUCUAUCACCCCUCUUUGACCUAUCACAAAUAGCAGGUGUAGAUUUUAAAUGUUGGAUUUUUAAAGUAACAUUCUCAAAUCUAAAACAUAGUUUUCAUUUUCUUCAUUUGAUUAAGGAUUCCAACACCCAAAAUGGUUAGAUCUAAACAUAAAACACUUAUUAACAUAUAAAUCUAAGGUUUUUGAGUUUGAAAAUAUAAGCUCAUGAUCUUAUAAAAAAUAACCACAAGGGAAUACCUUUUUGGUUGGAUGGUCUCCUCCUCCUACCAAGCUAGAUGGUAUGAAGAAAAUUUUCUUCUUUCUCCCUCGUUACCCACGGAUUCUCUCUCUUUUUUCUUCUCUUUUUAUUUUAUUUUUCUUAGCUUUU